rnacentral:misc_RNA from 1 species
GUGAAUCAUCAAAUCUUUGAACGCAAAUUGCACUCUCCGGUUUUCCGGGAGAGAAUGCUUGUUUGAGGGUCAGCCUAAAAAAAAUCGAUAUUGUUGCUGUUUUUUUGUGACUUUUGUCGGAGAUGGUGUAUCUUAAAUCUCGGUUUAAGCGACUUAAAAAUUUUUUUUACGAUUCUAAGAAUGUUUCUAAGAUUGUUCUUGUACGUUUAAGGUAUCGAAUGUUUUAUUAGACGUGGCCGUCAUAUCGGAUCGUGUCCAUAAUGUUUUGCGUUAAUUGACCUCAGACAGGUAUGAGUACCCG